GGUAUUGCAGGAUUGGACGGACCAGGGCAUUGUAGUGUUUAUGGUUGGCUGUUCUGGUCCCCCAUGGAAUAACGCCUGUCUCACAACCCAUUCCUCUCUCUCUCUCUCUCUCUGUCUCUCUCUCUCUCUCUCUCUCUCUCUCUGUUGGCUUGGUAUUCAGGGUCUUCCUUUGUAUUUAUUGCAUGUUUUCCAUACUUUCUAUUGGGUGUAUAUCCCAUUUAGUGCUGUUGGAGUUCAAGCCACCCUUCUGUAUAGUGUAGUGUAGUGUAGUCGACAGGACAAUACUCUACAUUCGUAAGCACACUUUCAAAGAGUAAGUGCGUACAUGACGUCUGUCCUGCUCUCCGGACGCAGUGAGGUCAGAGCUCCAGAGACAGGGGAUUGUCCCAGAAUUCCUCUCCUGGUCCCACCUCUUUCCCUCUGUCCACCACGCUGUCCAGCGGUAUCGAAGACGGCUUCUCUCUGACUCAAGCAGAGAGCUCAGUGAUUUAACCCGACCUCUGGCAUCACGCUUGACCCUUGACCUCUGACCUCAGAGAAAAUGAAAAUGAACCAGCACUGUUGGAAGGCACAAUUCUCUUCUGCGCUGACGACAUCCCUUGGAAGUGAAAACAGCAUUAAUUGGAUCUAUUAAACGCUUCAAAUUAUUCUUUACAAUGGAACAUUGCUUUCAUCUUUUUGUUUCUGAGAGCUAUUUUUGUGUUUUGUGUGAGUGCAUUUUCCAUUCGGUUUAAAUGAUCGAGUAGGUUUCACUAAAUGUUUUUUUUCCCCCACAAUGAAUAAAAUUAAAAUAUAAUUACUGAAUUUUU